rnacentral:rRNA from 1 species
GUGGGGAAUAUUGGGCAAUGGGCGAAAGCCUGACCCAGCAACGCCGCGUGAAGGAAGAAGGUCUUCGGAUCGUAAACUUCUAUCCUUGGUGAAGAUAAUGACGGUAGCCGAGAAGGAAGCCCCGGCUAACUACGUGCCAGCAGCCGCGGUAAUACGUAGGGGGCAAGCGUUGUCCGGAAUGAUUGGGCGUAAAGGGCGCGUAGGCGGCCCGGUAAGUCUGAAGUGAAAGUCCUGCUUUUAAGGUGGGAAUUGCUUUGGAUACUGUCGGGCUUGAGUGCAGGAGAGGUAAGCGGAAUUCCCGGUGUAGCGGUGAAAUGCGUAGAGAUCGGGAGGAACACCAGUGGCGAAGGCGGCUUACUGGACUGUAACUGACGCUGAGGCGCGAAAGUGUGGGGAGCAAACAGGAUUAGAUACCCGUGUAGUCC